UGCUCUAAGAAGAAAUCUAGAGUAAAGCCUGCUCCAUGACCGAUUUAAUAGCUGCAGGAGACUGUACUAAGGUAGCAAAAUCAAUCGCCUCCUAAUUAGAAGCCAGAAUGAAAGGCCAAAUAAACAAGAGCUGUCUUUUACCUACCCCUUGAAAUUAAGAAGAGAGUAAAAACUCCCUCACCCCUAUUAGGGACGAGAAGACCCUAUAAAGCUUGACUAACCUCCACCCAGGUAAAACCACUAGUUUAAUUGGGGAAAUAAGGUAAGAGAAAAUCUUACUUCCGAGCCUGUCAUAAAGAAUAAAAGAAAAAGUUACUUUAGGGAUAACAGCGUAAUAAAGAGGAUAAAGCUCAAAUUCAUCCCCUUGUUUGCGACCUCGAUGUUGGAUUAAUGAACCUAUUAGGGGUAAGACCUUAAAAAGGAGGACUGUUCGUCCCUUCAUUCAUUACA
rnacentral:rRNA from 1 species